GUUUCCUGGUGAGCGGGUUUCUGAGUUUGACGAGGCCCUUUGACCUUCCAUUGCUGCUUCUUUCGCUCGUGGAACCUUUUGAUCAGACGAGGUGUAUUUCUUCGGCAAAGGUGGCACUCCUAGUCCGUCGAUUCAUAACCUAGGUCUUGUCUUCUUUGGAUUUGUGCUAGAGCCAUAGUCAAGAUUAGAUUACAUCACCUGGUACUGCCUAGAGCCUCUACGACAAAGCCUGCGGUGCCAAGCGCAGUGCAUCAACCACUGCAGGUACUGUUCCCCCAAUCCGGAGAGGAACAUUUGGGUCGGGUACACCGGGAAGGACAUCUUGGUGGAGAACCUGCGCCAAAUCAGCAUGCACCGAGUGGCCAACGAGACUGGCCGACCGUGGGUCUGGUGGGAUUACGUGAUCGAUUUCAGCAUCAGGUGUUCGAUGAAGGAGAAGAAGUACACCAAGCACUGCGCAGAGCGAGUUGUCACCUCUCUUGGUUUAUCGUUGGACAAUGUUUUAAAAUGUAUGGGGAAUACUAAAGAUGAUGUCGAGAAUGAAGUUCUAAAGAGGGAGCAAGAACUCAGGCUUGGUCAUGGAUCUCGUGGAGAUGUUGCUAUCCUGCCUACUUUGGUUAUUAACGACGUCCAAUAUUGAGUUGGGCUAUAACGGUGAUGAGAGAGGUUAUGAGACAACACAUCUUUUUUAGAUGAUGAAUGUAAGAGUGGCUUCUUAUGCUGUCUAUUUUUCAACCGUUUCAGAUAAAACUCAUGAGUCCACAAUCAAACUAAAUCAUUCAGAUCUAGAAGCUUCAUUAACUGGGGCCAGACACAAAAAUAUUAUUUUGUAUAAUACACCCAGCAGUAUGUGAGGUUUCAAGAGGGCAAGGAUGUUGAUUUACUAGAUUAGCAAUCUAAUGGAACACAUGAAUCUUCCUACAAUAUGAUGGACUUUAUUGAGCCAAUGGCUAAUAGAAGACUGAAAUCUACUGCUUUGAAGAUGGUUGCUUUUACAGAUGUGGCAUGUGAAGCUUCAACAUCAUCUCAUGGUAGAAGUACAUCUGAGUUGGAUUCCUCCAAGCUACUAGAACUUGCUCUGAGAAGAUCACCACAGAAUGACUAUAUCAAUCCAGAAUUCAGAAAAAAUCACUUGUUGAACCAGUCUAAUGCCUCUGCCUUUUCAAAGUAAUCAUUUAACGAAUUCCAGUUUUCCUUUAGCUUCUACUUCUUAUAGGCAUUAUGAUUAUUUUCUUUUAGUUCGCUGGUCUCCCAUAAGUCAUGUGCAUAUAUUGCAUGAAUUUAAUAUCAGUAGUAAGGACUUAAGGAUGAGAAAGGGGGAAAGUUAGUCACUUUCCUUUUUGUCACAUUGAUUUUAUUUUUCAUAACUUCUUUUAGGAUGAAGACAUCCAUCGAUUGUUAGUACUCAUUUUAAGUUUAGAUUAUCUUAACCAAAUGCUUAUUUUAUUUUCCAUCCUUUGGUAGGCGAAUGAACUUUUAACAGAGAUUUACCUCUAAAGAGAACAAUUAGUUGUUGUUCCACACUCCUACAUUGGAAAGAGUUGUUUGCUCAAUCCCUUGAUCCAGUAUAAAUUUCUAGAAUAUGUGAAAAUAUAUCUUAUUUAUGAUAGAAAACUAUAUAUGAAUUUCUUUUGUUCGAGUCUUUUGACCUAAAUAUAUAAUCUACUGUAUAAAUUGGUGUGGUCAUGGCUUCAUAUAUGCACUCACAUCCUAUAUAAAUUUCAUACUCAUUGAUAUUGAUGUAACUACAGAAAAUGCCUAUCCUUAUUAGUCUUUGAUUCCAUGAUCUAUCUGGAUUUUUUUUUCUUACUGGUAUAUAAUUAAAAGAUUCAUCAAACCUUUCUCUUUGUUUAUAGACUACCGACAUGUAGAUUUUGCCUAACUUUCUUCCAUUGUGAAUUUUUCUGUGUCAAGUUAUGCAUUUAUGUGCCUAACAUGAUUUGUGUGCAAAAUGUAAUUGCGAGAGAUAUGGUGGUUUUGUGGGUUUAGUAUACUUAGUCUAGACCUAUAACAAAUUCCAUUGCUUUCCACUAUCAUUACUCAAAUUCAAGGUCGACUAUAUGGAUCCACCUUGCAAGCUGAAGCCCUACGAUUCCUCUCUUAGAAUCCACUUUGAGUCCUCUAAAAAGGUAAAUGAGUUAUUUUUACUUACAAGUUUAUUUCAUUAGUGUUUCCAUAAUGUUUAAAUUUACAAUUUGCUUUGCAAUUAUAUGGGAAAUUGAGAGUAUAAAGGAUUGAUUAUUUCAACUACUUGCAUAGCAUCUCAAGCAAGAAUUAUCCAACUCUGUAAAAUUUUGACUCAUUGUAAGUUUAUUAACAUUUGAAAGAAGGCAUAAAACUAUCUCUUCUACAAACUCAAGUCACAUUAAUAAAAUUAUCAUAGUAGCUAAUUGGGUGCAGGUAACAAAGGACAUUAAUCAUUGUAUUUUUUGGUCGUUUUCUUUUUACAUUGUACUAAUAGUUCAUGGUAUCAGUGGAGAGACUUUGUUGUCUGUUACUUGAUACUGGAUAGCUACAACCUUUGUUACAUAUUCCUGAUUAAAUAAUUUUCUAUCCAUAGUACACGGUAUGAAAAGAGUAAAGAGGAAUUUAAUUGGUGCAUAUAAAUAUUCUCAGCUAAUAGUUUGUGAUAAAUCACGUAUUUUUCUAACAUAGAUUAAAGUUCUAUUGAAUUGAAACUUUAAUUAGUCAUUCAGUAAAUUCCCGUUAUUAGCAUUCAUCUAAAGCAUAACUUGUAAUUGUUUGGCCCAUUGUAGAUUGAUCAUCGGUAUUAACAUAAAUUUAUGAUUGAAAUUUGUCUAGUUUGUUUUAUAUCCAAAAAUCAAGAAUUUCAUUUUUACUCAAACUCGUAAAACUACAUGAUCAGCAUGAAAAUGAAAAAUACAACCUGAAAGUUAUCUAAUUUGAAGAAAAUUAGCUGACAUUUUCCUUAUUUAUUGUCUUUCUUUGUUCUCAUCUUUUGCUUUGAUAUGUCAAUACCUAAUAUACAUCCAUGUGUUAUCUUGCUGAUUAAACAUUUUGUGAAUUUAGUUAUAGGUAAAGUCGUGGUGUCCUUAUAAUUUUGUUUGGCAACCAUGUGUUAUCUAUGGUCAGGACUUCUACUUCAUUUUCCUAAAAAAUGGUUGCCAAACAUGCGUCGAACAUUAUUUCUUGGUAUGUUUCUUUGUGGUCCAAAAUUAAUAAUGAUUGGGUUGUGUGAGUAGCUUAUUUAGUUCCGAAUUAUGCAAGGACUAACAAUGUGGAAGUUAUCUCUUUGUGAAUUGUUAGAUGAUGACCUUUUGUAUCUUAUGAGUUGCUCUACAAAUUUCUUGUUUGUACUCUCCUUAUGGUUUUCGUCUACAAAUCACUUGUUUAAAUGGGAAUGAAAAAUCUAUUUUUCCAACAAGAAUGUAGUGAAUGUUAUAGCUCUUAAUCUACACUUAUUUGAUUGACACUUUGGUUCUUUUAGCUGUCCUAUGUAAUUAUUAAAGCUGUGCGUAUGUGAUUUCUAUUUUGAGGAAUUUGUGGAAUUGUUUUAGCUCUACAAACAAUUCACCCUACCAUAACUCAUCAUGAUGAUCCAAUUCUUUUGGUUCAAGUUUUAAUUGGAAGAUUUUGAACCCAUGUUUUUUACUUUCACUUAUGCUUUUGUCAUGGGUCUGUUUAUUGCAGAUCAAUUUGCAGUUCCUGGCAACUUGUUACUUGCAAAAUGGAAAAGCAUAUUGUGCCUACCAAAUACUCAAAGGUCGGGCAAUUCGCGAGGCUUGAGUUUUUUUGAUGCAAGA